GGACUUGCCANUGGGGGAACCCUGAUGCAGCGNCCCCGCGUGAGNGAUCAAGCCCUUCGGGGUGCNAAGCUCUUUCGGCAGGGACGAUUAUGACGGUACCUGCAGAAGCAGCUGCGGCUAACUACGUGCCAGCAGCCGCGGUAAUACGUAGGCAGCAAGCGUUGUUCGGAGUUACUGGGCGUAAAGGGUGCGUAGGCGGCUUCUUAAGUCUGGUGUGAAAUCUCCCGGCUCAACUGGGAGGGUGCGCCGGAUACUGAGGGGCUAGAGUGUGGGAGAGGAAAGUGGAAUUCCAGGUGUAGCGGUGAAAUGCGUAGAUAUCUGGAGGAACACCGGUGGUGUAAACGGCUUUCUGGACCAUUACUGACGCUGAUGCACGAAAGCGUGGGUAGCAAACAGGAUUAGAUACCCUGGUAGUCCACGCCCUAAACGAUGCAUAUUUGGUGUGGGCCAUUCAGUUGGUCCGUGCCGGAGCUAACGCGUUAAAUAUGCCGCCUGGGGAGUACAGUCGCAAGGCUGAAACUCAAAAGAAUUGACGGA
rnacentral:rRNA from 1 species